UCAUGGGUUGCGUAAUUCAAGCUGGCUUGGGCCAAAACCCCGCGAGACAAGCUGCCUUGAAUGGUGGGUUACCGAGUACGGUUUCCGCUGUGACAGUGAAUAAGGUCUGUGGCUCUGGGUUGAAAGCGGUGAUGAUGGCAGCUCAAGGCGUCAAAUUGGGAGAUACCGACAUUGUCGUUGCAGGCGGGAUG
rnacentral:misc_RNA from 1 species